rnacentral:rRNA from 1 species
ACCGGCGCACGGGUGAGUAACACGUAUGCAACCUACCUUCAACAGGGGAAUAACCCGUCGAAAGACGGACUAAUACCCCAUAAUACAGGGCUCCCUCAUGGGAAUAUUUGUUAAAGAUUUAUCGGUUGAAGAUGGGCAUGCGUUCCAUUAGCUUGUUGGUGAGGUAACGGCUCACCAAGGCAACGAUGGAUAGGGGAACUGAGAGGUUUAUCCCCCACACUGGUACUGAGACACGGACCAGACUCC